UUCCGGUUGAUCCUGCCCGACCUGGCUGCCAUCGGAUUGGUAUUAAGCCCUGAGGGGUGGUUGAAGCAAUACAGGGCGGACGGCUCAGUAACACGUAGUCAACCUAACCUAUGGACGUGGAUAACCUCGGGAAACUGAGAAUAAACCGCGAUAGAUCAUUAUGCCUGGAAUGGCUUAUGGUUCAAACAAUUUAUUGCCGUAGGAUGGGACUGCGGCCUAUCAGCUUGUUGGUGAGGUAAUGGCCCACCAAGGCUAUAACAGGUACGGGCUCUGAGAGGAGAAGCCCGGAGAUGGGUACUGAGACACGGACCCAGGCCCUAUGGGGCGCAGCAGGCGAGAAACCUUAGCAAUGUGCGAAAGCACGACUAGGUUAAUCCGAGUGAUUUCUGUUGAAGAAAUCUUUUGUCAGUCGUAAAACCACAGACGAAUAAGGGGUGGGCAAGUCUGGUGUCAGCCGCCGCGGUAAUACCAGCACCUCGAGUGGUCAGGAGGUUUAUUGGGCCUAAAGCAUCCGUAGCCGGCUACGCAAGUCUCCGGUUAAAUCCAGCUGCUCAACAGAUGGGCUGCCGGAGAUACUACAUAGCUAGGGAGCGGGAGAGGUAGACGGUAUUCUGUGGGUAGGGGUAAAAUCCACUGAUCCAUAGAGGACCACCAGUGGCGAAGGCGGUCUACCAGAACGCGUUCGACGGUGAGGGAUGAAAGCUGGGGGAGCAAACCGGAUUAGAUACCCGGGUAGUCCCAGCUGUAAACGAUGCAAACUCGGUGAUGCAUUGGCUUAUGGCCAAUGCCAUGCCCCAAGGAAGCCGUUAAGUUUGUCGCCUGGGAUAUACUGAAGCAAGUCUGAACUUUACACGAAUUGGUGGGGGAGCA
rnacentral:rRNA from 1 species